rnacentral:rRNA from 1 species
UAGGGAAUCUUCGGCAAUGGACGAAAGUCUGACCGAGCAACGCCGCGUGAGUGAAGAAGGUUUUCGGAUCGUAAAACUCUGUUGGUAGAGAAGAACGUUGGUGAGAGUGGAAAGCUCAUCAAGUGACGGUAACUACCCAGAAAGGGACGGCUAACUACGUGCCAGCAGCCGCGGUAAUACGUAGGUCCCGAGCGUUGUCCGGAUUUAUUGGGCGUAAAGCGAGCGCAGGUGGUUUAUUAAGUCUGGUGUAAAAGGCAGUGGCUCAACCAUUGUAUGCAUUGGAAACUGGUAGACUUGAGUGCAGGAGAGGAGAGUGGAAUUCCAUGUGUAGCGGUGAAAUGCGUAGAUAUAUGGAGGAACACCGGUGGCGAAAGCGGCUCUCUGGCCUGUAACUGACACUGAGGCUCGAAAGCGUGGGGAGCAAACAGGAUUAGAUAGCCCUGGUAGUCCACGCCGUAAACGAUGAGUGCUAGAUGUAGGGAGCUAUAAGUUCUCUGUAUCGCAGCUAACGCAAUAAGCACUCCGCCUGGGGGAGUACGACCGCAAGGUUGAAAC